rnacentral:rRNA from 1 species
CAGUCGCCACGGGAAUACAGAGGGUGCGAGCGUUAAUCGGAUUUACUGGGCGUAAAGCGUGCGUAGGCGGCUUCUUAAGUCGGAUGUGAAAUCCCUGAGCUUAACUUAGGAAUUGCAUUUGAUACUGGGAAGCUAGAGUAUGGGAGAGGAUGGUAGAAUUCCAGGUGUAGCGGUGAAAUGCGUAGAGAUCUGGAGGAAUACCGAUGGCGAAGGCAGCCAUCUGGCCUAAUACUGACGCUGAGGUACGAAAGCAUGGGGAGCAAACAGGAUUAGAUACCCGUGUAGUCCCUGUCUCUUAUAC